rnacentral:rRNA from 1 species
UUGAACGCUGGCGGAAUGCUUUACACAUGCAAGUCGAACGGCAGCACGGGGGCAACCCUGGUGGCGAGUGGCGAACGGGUGAGUAAUACAUCGGAACGUGCCCAGUCGUGGGGGAUAACGUAGCGAAAGCUACGCUAAUACCGCAUACGAUCUAAGGAUGAAAGCGGGGGACCGUAAGGCCUCGCGCGAUUGGAGCGGCCGAUGGCAGAUUAGGUAGUUGGUGGGGUAAAGGCUCACCAAGCCGACGAUCUGUAGCUGGUCUGAGAGGACGACCAGCCACACUGGGACUGAGACACGGCCCAGACUCCUACGGGAGGCAGCAGUGGGGAAUUUUGGACAAUGGGCGCAAGCCUGAUCCAGCCAUUCCGCGUGCAGGAUGAAGGCCCUCGGGUUGUAAACUGCUUUUGUACGGAACGAAACGGUGGCCUCUAAUACAGGUUGCUAAUGACGGUACCGUAAGAAUAAGCACCGGCUAACUACGU